rnacentral:lncRNA from 1 species
GUGCUAAGUGUCUCGAGAUAAGUGUCUGGCACUCAGGGUCAUCACUUAGGGCUGCACCCGCCCCACCCCCAUCACACGCAGGUCACUUGCUAGCUGCCAGCUCUCCCCCUCAGAUGGCAAUCAGGGGACGCUGAGACAUGGAACUGUGUCUGCCUCUGUUUCCAACAAACUCGUGAUCUUUCGUCUCUCUCUGCCCUCAAAAGAAAAAAAAGAAAGUCCAGGCUUAUGGUGGACGUCCUUGGUGGCUCAGCGAUAAAGAAUCUGCCUGCCAAUGUGUGAGACAUGGGUUCAGUCCCUGGGUCAGGAAGAUUCCCUAGAGAAGGAAAUGGCAACCCACUCCAGUAUUCUUGCCUGGAAAGUUCCAUGGACAGGAGCAAGCUACAGUCUAUCGGGUCACAGAGAGAUGGACACGACUUGGCGACUACACAACACCAACAAGGCAUAUGCACUGGGUUGCGGUGAGAGGGAGAGAAGCACUGGCUCUGAGGAAACCAUAUUCCUGAGUCACAUGUGGCCCGUGUCAGGCACCCCUGCUGCUGCUGCUGGUCAUGGUGUAGAUGGGAGGACGGCGGGGAACAGCUGA